rnacentral:rRNA from 1 species
CUGAACCAGCCAAGUAGCGUGAAGGAUGAAGGCUCUAUGGGUCGUAAACUUCUUUUAUAUAAGAAUAAAGUGCAGUAUGUAUACUGUUUUGUAUGUAUUAUAUGAAUAAGGAGCGGCAAACUCCGUGCCAGCAGCCGCGGUAAUACGGAGGAUCCGAGCGUUAUCCGGAUUUAUUGGGUUUAAAGGGAGCGUAGGUGGACUGGUAAGUCAGUUGUGAAAGUUUGCGG